rnacentral:lncRNA from 1 species
UUCCCGAACGUGGUCCCAGCGAGAAAUGCCGAGAUUUGGCUAAGUCCUGAAAAUCGAGCUCUCGGGGACCGGUCUCUCAGGCGAGGACCGGUCUCCCGAGGACCGGUCUCCUGGGGAGAGACCGGUUCCCGAACGCGUGUGCCCGAGGGAGGCCCUCGGGGACCGGUCCCAAGUUGUGGAGACCGGUCCCUCCGCGCGAAUUCUGCCCAGUAAGGGCAGUGUAUAGGAUUAAAAGUUGAGGGGUUUUUAUGCAAAAUGGCAUUAGUUAGGGGGGGAUUAGAGGGGCUGAGCCCUCUUCCUCUCUCACCCUCACUCACACUCUCUCCCUCUCAUAUUUUCUCUCCCUCUCUCUCUCUAGAAAGGAAAGGAGGAGAAGAAGAACAAGAAGGAGAGGAAGGAAAAGAAG